CAUAGAUGAAGACGCUGAGACCCAGACAUAUCUAAGAACAUUCUAGAUACACAGUUAAGAAACGACAGGGCUGAGAUUUGAUCCAGGACAGUCUAGCUCCCUUAAGGCAUAUAUUGCCUCAGAGGCUCUGGUCAGCACAAUGACACAGGGAAAGUGGCAGGAGGAAGCAGUGCAAGGUGAAUGCUUCAGAGAAAAGUCUGCGAAGUUUUGGGGAACGCUGAGGGAUGAACUACCACCCACAAAUGAGGCAAGAAAAGCUGUGGCGUUUGGGGGAGCAAUCUGCCACAUUGUUACUAAUAUUUUCUGGUCAUUGCUACUUCUGAAUAAGCUUUAGUUUGAGCGAAAGAAUUCCACUUUGUUCCUAAGGGUCCUUCAGGCUUGAUACGUCUUGGAAGUCCUCUACUGUUUCCUGAAUGCACACAUGCAAAGAUUUCAGCAUCAGCCACCCAAAGAGUUACCUAAAUUGCUGGCUGGAUUUGGGAACCACCUAGGUAUACGUGAGCAGAGGAAAGGAGCUGACUUUGGGGAGACUGAACUCCAAUGGGAGGAAAUUAGUGGGUAAAUGAAACGAGUUAAGUGGCACAAAUAAAGAAUGCCUGUGAGCAAGGGCUGCAGGUACCUGUAUGAAAAAGGUGCAUCCUGUUCGUGGUUUAGAUACUCUGGGAUCUGAAGAAGUUGGACUCCAAGUCUUGUGAGGUUUGCACAUCUGUGACCCUAGAGACUGGUCACCAGCUUGGCUGAAAAGUCACUGGGGGAGGGAAGCAGCACAGACGAUCACCCAGUGGACUCAGUUUUCACCCUUCUAAAUUUCCUGGGAAUGCACACAUUUAGAUGUAUUCUUUCAACUUUUUAUGCCACAUUCUAAUUUCCAUCUGUCACCUCAAUUCAGCCACAAGGGAUAAGGCGUCUUAAAGUCGUUUGGGCAAAAGCAAAGCAAGACUCACACUGUGGCCCAAACGCUCAAGAUUAUUAGUGUCUUAAACCGAGCUGUUUCCCUCACCUAUGAAAUUCCAAGUAGUGCCUUCCUUUGUGGUCCAGAGAAAGUGGACCUUCUCCAAAGGCAAUUUUCACAUCUAGGAAAAACUGAUCCAGUGACAUCUAUCAUUAAUGCCCAUCUCUGGUGGACAACGGAUGUUCGAGCCUGCCAAAUCCUUUCCUUUCCUCUGGGGAUCCCAUCCCCCACCCCCGUUCUUGCAGCCAGCAGGGGGCUGGUCCCCUAGGGUCCUGGCUCUGGAGGGGAGGCGAUGGCCCCGACCAAGCACAUGUUCCACAAAGCAACCCCAGGGUAGGUCCUCCCGCCCCAAUCCAGGUCAAUAAGCCUCAAAUCUAGGACUCUGAGAACUACCUGAAAGGAAAAGCUCCAUCUAUAGGGAAUGCUCACUGUAAGAAUGAUUUAAAGACUGGAAUUUCUGAGGCGGUAUUUCUCCCUCAGGGGGAUUCAGGCAAAGGAUGAAGGCAACACAGAAGUCAGUGAAUUUGGGGCCAUAAAAACGAGUUUCUGGUGAUGCUACCAACCUAUCUGGAUCCGGCCAUGCCAGAAGCCAGGGUCACUGCUGGACUUUUCAAAAUGGGAGCUAAUAAGUCAUUUUAGCAUGUUCUUAAGCUGGGUUGAACUGACUCCUCUGUCACUUACACGCAAGGGUCCUGAUACCAUCUCUAUUGAGGGUGCUCCAGGCUGCUUCCAGAAAACUUAGAGCAUGUUGUGAAAUGUAAAAAAAAAAAAAAAAAAAAAAAAACAUAUGUACGAUAUUUAUAAUGAGUUCAUUCUAACAUAAAGUAGGAAUAUACAUGUGGGAUAUGAAUGUCCUGAAAGCCAGAAGACAGCAAGAGGGCAGAGCGACUGAUUAAAAGGAGGAAUCACUCCCUCCAAGGUGAUGGAUUCACGAUUCGCUAGGGCUUGACAGUCCAGGACAGGAGCCCUAAGCCACAUGUGGCGAUGGAGCACUUGCUCUCUGGCUGGCACAGUGGACGUGUGCCCUAAGUGUGAAGGCCACUAGGUGCCAACCAAAGAACCCAAGGAGUCUCAUCAAUCAUUUUUAUAUUGAUGACGGAGUCAACGUAAAAACAUCUGGCAAACAGGAGGUUCAAUUAAAAGUACUACUGCCAUGAUUUUCACCUGUUUCUUUUGGACCUGUUAUAGUACAGCUACUGGACAAUUUUCAAUUACAUACGUGGCACGUGUUCUGUUUUUACUGGACAGGGUGGCAUGAGACCUGUAAUGGUUAUAAGGUUCUGCUUUAUGUUGAACCGAAAACCCCUGCCCUGACACACCCACCCUGGUUUUCCUUAUCUUGAACUAAUGUGGUUGACCCAGAGUGGGAGGAGAGGGUGAAAAAUGAGUCAAAUCCAUUCUUCACAGUACAGCCCCUCGGCGAUUUGAAGCAGCUCCCAGAUUCUUCCCAUAACUUCUCUUUUCUGGGCCAAACACCCCACGUCCCUCCCUUGUCUUUGGAACCUUCCAGCUUCCCUUAAAAUAGGGGGCUCAGCAUUCUUGCUGGCUCGCCAGCCAGAGACACCAGCUUUCCAUUAAUGUGACCCUGAUGUUAUUAGCAUCUUUGGUACCUGAGGCCUCCACCAGAGAUUCUCAAAGGCUAACCCUCAGACCAGGGGCAUCAGCAUCUCCCGAGAACUAGUCUGAAAUGCAGAUUCUCUGGCUCCACCUAAAACCUCCCGCAUCACCAAGUCCGGGGGGGCGGGACCCAGCAACAGAGCUUUAACGAACCUUCCAGGUUUGAAAGAGUGUGAGAACGGCUCAUUCCCAAAGCCCUCUAAAAAUAUUCUGCCUUUUGGCCAGGUUUCCCCUGUUUGAUUUUUUUACGAUUAUGCAGGCAUCCGCCUUUUGUUGCUGUUAGUGCAUCAGAAUCUUGGUCCAUAUUCUCGCUGUCUGAGCCUCAGGAAUAGAGUCAUUUCUCCCUGCUUUGUGGCAACUACACCUUGAACAAUGCCGUGUUCAUCUUUAUCCACAGCUCUGAUAUGGACACUGAGCAACACAAGCUCCACAGCAGGCUCACACUUCCUUUCCCUUCACGCCGAGGGUCGUGCUGUUGCCUCUGCCUCAGAGAUGCUUCUGAAGCCCGACUCCCUCACUCUACAGUGGCUCUUCCCGGCUAGCUCCACUUACACAGUGCCUCCAUCAAGAAAGCUGGGUUUAGGGCGGGUCAUCUGAGUCGUGUGUGGACAGCUAUCAGCGUUUGAUGAAUGACUCCCUUCCUCCGUGGAACGCUGGUUCUCCAGCGGGGUGAUUUUGCCCCUGGAGGGCACUUGGCAACGUCUAGACACAUUUUUAAUUGCCACAACUGGGGCUUGCUACUGGCAUCUAAAUACAUAGCCCAAAGGAGAGGCUGAGUAAAUGCCUGGUGAGUGAAUAAGUGACAUCUCCCUUGAUGGGAGGAAACAUGAGAAAAAUUAAUCAAGAUCACCUGCAGGUUUCUAACUUUCUGUUUUAGGAAAUAAUUUGCCUGGGGAAUAACAUAGCUGAAGACAUGCAGAAACUGUGUUUAAUACAUAAGCUAGCUUUACAAUUAGCAUCCCCAUGGCUAAUUAAUACAUGCGCUUCUAAAGUCCCUGCAAACCGCCAAAGCAUUUUUGGGCCUCUAAGCUGGCUGGGCACUCUUCUUUUGCAUCUUACUGCCUAACUCAUUUGGUGAAUAAUGUGACACUUAUUAACUGUGUGAACUUGGGCUACUUGAUCUCUCCAGGCAUCCGUUGCCUUACAGUGGGUAUAAAGACGCCAGCCCUUCUUGGAGCCCAUCUGUCCUGUGACGCAUGAGGAGGACGGUGCUGGAUGGUUUAUAAGGUACUCAGUGCCUUGCGAUGCUUGGCCUGGAGUAACCAUCUGGCCGCGGCACUUCCGAUGUCCUCUUUUAAUCCUCCUAAUGAUCAGAUCAUGUGGGGCGAGGAACAGGUCUUCAUUUAAUAGGCGAUGACUUGGAAGCUCAAUCAGGCCAAGUGGCUGAAAAUGCAUCCAGUUUUUUAUCCAGGAAGAGAUCUUCCUAGCGUCUGUGAUUGACCUUGACUCAUCCAACGAAAGACAUUUCUCUCAUGGACAAAGCUUUUCUGGAAAUUGCUAAAACAGUGAAAAGGAUGGUUUUCAAACCCUCCAGCGUGAGGAUCUAUACUUCUGCAUGGAAGCUGAGCCCCUGUCUUCAGAGGUUUUCAGUGCAGUGGGCUUCUGGAGGGAGACGAGACUCAGGUUUCAAGCGAUGCUAUUUGAAUGUGUGUCGGGAGCCAGCAAACAUGGACAGGGCAGCCGCCCUAGGGUUGAGGCCUGAGGGCCCACACGUGGAACCCUCUCUGGGCUGUGCUUGCAUCCAAGCUCAUGCCUGGAGUCCAGUGGACCUGGAGCCUGGUCCACGGGGAGAAGAACCCUGGCUGAGUGUCUCCCAGAGGCAGGCAAGGCCUGGGAGACAGUGAGUCAUUCUGUCUUGGCACGGAGUGCCCAGGGCUCUGGGGGGAAACAGACAGACUUUGUUCAAAGGAAGCCCUCCCAUGUCUGAAUGGGCCCCAGUCAACUCUGUGGAGGAGGCCUGUAACCUGUCUGGGCCCCCUCUUCCCCCCUUGGCCUGGAAAAAACCCACAGGGACUUGGGGGGUGGGGGUAGAUGUUUUGGACUCCAGGCCUUUGGUGUCGGCCUGGAACAAAGGCCCAGACCCAGGCUAGAAAGACAUUUCCUGGGGCCCCAUUAGGGGCACCGACUUCUGACUCAAAUUUUAGCUGUCUCACCAAUGCUUGGGUAAAAAAAGAGUCAGACAGGACACCCAAUUCCCACAACUGCAUUUUAUCCAGCUGGGGAGCAAUUGAGCUUCUUCCUAAAAUGAAAAGCACUCAAAUACCAUAAAACCUUCCCUUCGAAAAGAUACACGCACCCCUGUGUUCACUGCUGCACCAUCCAUAACAGCCAAGACAUGGAAACUACCUAAAUGUCCAUCGGCAGAUGAAUGGAUUAAGAAGAUGUGGUACAUACACACAGUGGAAUACUAUUCAGCCAUAAAAAGAACAAAAUAAUGCCAUUAGCACUAACGUGGAUGCAACUAGAGAUUUUCAUACUAAGUAAAGUAAGUCAGAAGGAGAAAGACAAGUACCACAAGAUAGCAUUUAUAUGUGGAAUCUAAACUAUGGCAUAGACGAACUUAUCUAUAGAACAGAAACAGACUAACAGACAUGGAAAACAGAUGCGUGGGUGCCAAGGGGGAGGGGAGGGAGUGGGAUGGCCUGGGUGUUGGGGGUUGGUAGAGGCACACUGUGACAUUUAGAAUGGAUCAGCAAUGAGGUCCCACUGUAUAGCACAGGGAACUCUAUCCAAUCACUUGUGAUGAUACAACAUGAUAGAAUGUGAGGAAAAGAAUGUAUGUAUUUGUAUAACUGGGUCACUCUGCUGUACAAUAGAAAUUGACCACAUUGUAAAUCAACUAUAAUAAAAAAAUUUAGAAAAUUUCUCACUUUGGGGGCUCACUUUUGUGAUGUUUCUUCACCUUAGUUGGAGGAAUUCCUCUUCUGCACACACACCUUCACGAUAUGUUAUGGGGCAAUAUUGUAUUUUCUUGGCAGCUGUCAUAAGAAUUUCUUUUGGGUGGACACCCACUCUUAGGGGAGAAGAAUAUGUGCAAAGGUCUCUUCGGGAACGGUGGGAACUGAUCUUCCUGGGCCUGAAUGUGAAUAGUGGAAGGAGGCAGGGAUGGAUUUGUGUGUUACUCCAGGGAGGGAAGGAAGAAGAAGCCGGUGGGACCCCACCAUGUGCUGCCAUGAUGUCCCCCUUCCGGUGAUGUCCACCCUCCUGGUAAAGCCACGACACUUGAAAAGCUGCUGACACACUGGGGACAUCCCUUUUAAAUAUGGGCCUCUGGUUCAGCUGGUUGAGGUGGGACCUGAAGCAGGUAUCUCGGAUCUCAGGGGCCGGGAUAAAAUACGGGAAUGUGACUGUUGGGGGGAUCCACAGCCAUCGUGAGGACAACUCUGUAUUCCUGACAGUCAGUGGAGUUAGGGUUUGGAUUAGUUCACAUAAAGCUUCCUGGGAGCAGGGGCCACAGAGGACGCCUGAGUUCCGCGGUUCGAGUCCCGCUGCUAGCCUGCCCUGCUGUCCCAUCACUCUCCUUCACCAACAAAGAGCAGGGACUUGGGCUGACCGAGACUGAGGGCACAGCGGGGUCUCCGAGGAGGUGGCUGUGCACCCUUAGGAGGCGAGGCCUUGUUUAUGAGCUCCCUGGGAGCAGCAAGUCAACUGGGAUGGGGGGAGGCCUUCCCCUCGUUAACCCAGAGGGAGGUCACAGCUCCAUCUCGGCUGCUGCCAGGAAUCCACAAUGUGUCAAAACUCCAGGCGAAGGCACACGGUUCCAGCUCAUUGGAACCCAAUUCGGAGAUGAGUGCGGGCAGAGCAGGGAGCUGCGCUUGGCUGGCCCCCGAGAGACCCGGCAGAUGUUUGUGCGGGGCUCGGCUCUGCAGAGCUCCGGAGCGGGCUGGGCUCAUCACCCAAACAGGGCCCCAGGGAGAGAGGCUGAUGAGGGCCCCGCGGUGCUGGGAGCGCUUGGCUCAGCCACCCCCCGGGGGCCUGGCCCCCUGCCAGCUCAGUGCAGAAGGGAGGGCUAGGCGGUGAGCUGCACAUGGGGAACUCUUGCAAAAGACCCAGCAACGCUCUUGGAUGACAUCCUGUCGUCACGAGCUCCAGAGGCUCCAGUGGGGUUGGGUUCGUGGGGAGAUGGGAGCGGGGUGCUCGGGGUAUGCGCCCGGGCUCACUCUCCACCCCGCCCUUACUCCUGGGGAGAGCGGUAAACGUGAACCGUGUAAUCCCAACCAGGUCUCGGAGCCGCUCUGCCUGCCGUGGCGGGGAGAGUAAUCACAGCCUCCCUCCGGCCAAACAAGGGCCUGCCCUGGACCCAGACGCGUCCCAGAAAGAAAUGAGGGGGGUGUGUGUGCGUGGUCAAGUGUGUGUGUGCGUGUGUGUGGACAUACUUAAUAAGUGUCUGGGAGGCUCUGCAGGGCCAGUGUUCUAUGUGGACACAUGAACAGUGAGUGUGUGCCUUCUCUCUGUGCCUGCACGUGGCCAGCGUGUACGUGUGUCUCUGCACGCUUCCAUGUAUGUCCCCUGAGUGUGUGUGUGCUGGGCCACAUGGUCAGUGAUGCAUUUGGGGGGUGCGUGUUCUCUGCGUGUGCGUGGAUGAUGAGUGUGUAGGUCCUUCGAGGCACAGGCCCCAAAUGCAUGUCAUCCCAGGAGGUGUACUGUCUGGGGAAAGGGGCCCACAUGUGUGUAUUUUUUGUGUAACCACUUUAUGCGUGUCCAACGGCUGUGGCAGUGUGUGUGAACAAGUGAGAGAGAAAAAGCAUGGGGCUAUAACCAAGUGCCAGGCACCUGCGGCAUCGGACCCUGUCCACGGCCACCCCAAGAUGCCAGAGCUCCUUAGCACGGCACUCAGGGUCUGCCCUCCACAGGCCCUCUGACCGCCUCCCCUCUGGCCCUGCCACGUGCCAUGCCGGUGCCGCCCACGGCUCCCCUGACUCGAAUCCUAUAAAACCGCCUGUGGCUCCCUGAGUAGGUCAGGGGGCUCCAUGCCUCUGGACCUUUGCACCUGCUGUUCCCACUCCUGGAAUGCCUCCCUCCUUCUCCCGUCUUUCUGACAUCUUCUCAUCGGUUCAGACUCAACUCAAGUGUUCACACAUUUGUCACACCUCCCUGAUGUGGUCUUUGGGACGGACCACUUCCCACUCUGUCCCCCAACUAGGAACACAUUUGCCCCAGGGCCCCUCCUAACCUCUGAGCCACUCGUUUGCCUCCAUGACUGUUUUCCCGGCCCAGACGGUAGCUCCUGGGACGAGGAAGACAACACUGGCCUCGGCUCCUUGAGUGUUUUUACAUCCCAGACUGUCUACAAAACACACUCUCACCCUCACAGUGGCCCUGUGAGGCGACACUAUCCUCACUUUAGAGAUGGGGUCCCUGAGGCUCCCUGAGAGUCAUAGAACUCUUAAAAAGCCAGGCAUGAGCCCUCUAUUCGACGCCAGGGCCCAGUGUAUUGUUACACUCUUCCUCGGAUGGGGCUUACUCUUCUGAUAGACUGUAUUCAAGAUAGAUUUCACUGCUUCCAGUACACCAAGUGCGCUCAGCACUCAGGAUGCAACCCCAGGUUGGCCUCACAGAGCUUGACUUCUAGUUCUGGUCCAUCCCACUAGGCUGGGAUGGAUGGAUGGGUGGAUGGAUGUUGUGUGUGCAUGGGCGUGCGUGCCCGGGCACUUGUGUGCAUGCAAAGUGCAUUCUGACUACGAGUAGGACAGUCCCAGAAUCCAAGCCGAUCACACAAAGAGAUGCUCCCUGAAAGAGGAGCUGUGCCACAGCCGAGUGGAAGUGAUGAGAGACAGACCGACAGAAGAAC
rnacentral:lncRNA from 1 species